GUCUAGGGCCAUACUACCCUGAACACGCCCUAUCUCAACUGAUCUCGGAAGCUGAGCAGGGUUGGGCCUG
rnacentral:rRNA from 1 species